AUGGGGUCUCGGGGGCGUGCGGAAGGCCAGGGCCCGACCCCGGCCGCAGACGCCCUCCCGCAGGCUCCCCUUCCGCGCUGGCCGGCCCGCAGCGUCCUGAUGGGUGGUGAGUGGAUUGCGCGGGUGCCUGGCCGCCUUCAUGUGGGACCACGAGGGUAAUGAUGACCUUAGGUGAUUCUGAGUGCCAUCGCUGACGCCAUCACCGCAGCGCGCUGACCGCCCUCUGCCCCCGAGGGGUUGCAGGACCGCCCUCUCCCGUGUUAUCAGUGAGCAAAGGAUGAGAGCUCUGGGACCCCAGCUGGGGUAGUGUCCCUUCAUGCAAGUUUUGGAGCUAGCCCAUUAGUCAUACAGACAGGCCUGGCUAUGUGAUGAUUCCUGCUGCUGUUUCAUCCUUGGGCUGUGACGGGUGGAGAGGAAGCCCUUCCGCGGCAGCAGUAAGUGUCAUUGCCUUUGGUUGUCCGGUGGAGUGGUAAUGAUGACUUCGUUGGACUAGAGUCUCUGAGCUUUCUCUGAGGAUCUUUAAAACCACCUGAUCCACUCCGGCUUCCCCAGCACCCUGUGGGGCAUGUCCCUUGCAGUGUGGUUUCCCUGCUGGUUGCUACCAUGGUUCUAACACAUGUUCCAUUUGUGAAGUUGCAGAAUUUGGCUGACAAGGAUGUCUUCUCGUGUGGAAUAGAUCUUCAGAACUGAAGCCUUCUGGGUGUUUCCUGAGUGGUUAUCGACAAAUGCAAAAAUACUGGAAAGAAAUUCUGAGGCCCAAACAUGUCAAGUAGAAAGCUUGAUUUUUGUUUCGUGCAAGUGCCUAAUUAAAGAUUUCAAUAAAACUAUUUGAAGUAAA